GGUCGGGCCCCGCACGGCGGACCCCUGUGAACCCCGUCAGGUCCGGAAGGAAGCAGCGGCAGCAGGACGAAGCGCGUUGCGGAUCUGUCCGGCUCGG
rnacentral:SRP_RNA from 1 species